UGAGGAAUAUUGGUCAAUGGGCGAGAGCCUGAACCAGCCCAAGUCGCGUGAGGGAAGACGGUCCUAUGGAUUGUAAACCUCUUUUUGCCGGGGAGCAAAGAGCGGCACGUGUGCCGCGCCGAGAGUACCCGGAGAAAAAGCAUCGGCUAACUCCGUGCC
rnacentral:rRNA from 1 species